rnacentral:tRNA from 1 species
UCCACGGUGGCACAUUGGUGAGUGCUCUUGACUCACAGUUAGAAGUCCUUGGUUCAAAUCCUGGCCGGGAA